UGGUUCUGGCAUCGAUGAAGAACGCAGCGAAAUGCGAUAAGUAAUGUGAAUUGCAGAAUUCAGUGAAUCAUCGAAUCUUUGAACGCACAUUGCGCCCGCUAGUAUUCUGGCGGGCAUGCCUGUUCGAGCGUCAUUUCAACCAUCAAGCCUUUAGGCUUGUGUUGGAGCCCUGCGGCCGUCCGCAGCCUCCUAAAUCUAGUGGCGAGCUCGCUAUCACACCGAGUGCAGUACAUAUUAUCUUCUCUCAGGGCGUGUGGCGGGUGCUGGCCGUGAAACCCCCCCUUUUUAUCAAGGUUGACCUCGGAUCAGGUAGGAAUACCCGCUGA
rnacentral:misc_RNA from 1 species